rnacentral:rRNA from 1 species
UGGGGAAUCUUGGACAAUGGGCGCAAGCCUGAUCCAGCCAUGCCGCGUGGAUGAUGAAGGCCUUAGGGUUGUAAACCGCUUUUUGUCAGGGAAGAAACGGUCUGCGUUAAUACCACAGACUAAUGACGGUACCUGAAGAAUAAGCACCGGCUAACUACGUGCCAGCAGCCGCGGUAAUACGUAGGGUGCAAGCGUUAAUCGGAAUUACUGGGCGUAAAGCGUGCGCAGGCGGCUUUGCAAGACAGAUGUGAAAUCCCCGGGCUCAACCUGGGAAUUGCAUUUGAGACUGCACGGCUAGAGUGUGUCAGAGGGGGGUAGAAUUCCACGUGUAGCAGUGAAAUGCGUAGAUAUGUGGAGGAAUACCGAUGGCGAAGGCAGCCCCCUGGGAUAACACUGACGCUCAUGCACGAAAGCGUGGGGAGCAAACAGGAUUAGAUACCCACGUAGUCCCUGAGCGGGCUGGCAAGGCGCAU